UGUAAGCGUAUACCAAAGUUGUUGCAGUUAAAACGCUCGUAGUCGGAAUUUGGCAGUUCCGGAUGUGUGCACGUCGUGUGCGCGCUUCGCGGGGAUUGCUUUUGUGGUCUUGCGUAGGAUGAGGCACUUUUAUUAGUGAACGUCCUCACGCAACCACUUUUUACUGUGAGAAAAUCAGAGUGCUCAAAGCAGGCAUUUGCCGUGAAUGUAUUAGCAUGGAAUAAUAGAAUAGGACUUGGUUCUAUUUUGUUGGUUUGUUGGGACUGAGUAAUGAUUAAGAGGGACAGUUGGGGCAUUUGUAUUUCGGUGCUAGAGGUGAAAUUCUUAGAUUACCGAAAGACAAACUGCUGCGAAAGCGUCUGCCAAGGAUGUUUUCAUUGA
rnacentral:rRNA from 1 species